AGAAACGUGUGCGCCGAUUGACUAAGGGUUCCUGGGUCAAGCUGAUCUGCCCAGGGUAAGUCGGGACCUAAGGCGAGGCCGACAGGCGUAGUCGAUGGAUAACCGGUUGAUAUUCCGGUACCCGCUGUGAAGCGUCAAACAUUGAAUCCAGUGAUGCUAAGCCCGUGAAGCCGUUCCGGACCCUUCGGGGAAUGGAAAGUGGUGGAGCCGGUGGCCCGAGCUGGUAGUAGGUGAGUGAUGGGGUGACGCAGGAAGGUAGUCCAUCCCGGGCGGUGGUUGUCCCGGGGUAAGGGUGUAGGACGUCAGGUAGGUAAAUCCGCCUGGCAUGUGUCUGAGACCUGAUGCCGAGCCGAUUGUGGUGAAGUGGAUGAUCCUAUGCUGUCGAGAAAAGCCUCUAGCGAGUUUCAUGGCGGCCCGUACCCUAAACCGACUCAGGUGGUCAGGUAGAGAAUACCGAGGCGUUCGGGUGAACUAUGGUUAAGGAACUCGGCAAAAUGCCCCCGUAACUUCGGGAGAAGGGGGGCCAU
rnacentral:ncRNA from 1 species